GUCUUUUUGUUUAUGAUAAAAAGUCGGAUCUGCUCAAUGAAAUUUUAAAUAGCUGCAGUAUUUUAACUGUACAAAGGUAGCAUAAUCAUUAGUUUUUUAAUUGAAAGCUGGAAUGAAUGAUUUGAUGAAAAAUUUUCUGUCUCAAUAUUAAUAAAAGAAUUUUAUUUUUAAGUUAAAAAGCUUAAAUAUAAUAAAAAGACGAGAAGACCCUAUAGAGUUUUAUAUAUUUUAGUGUAUAAUUUAAAAUGAUUAAAAAUUUAUAUAAUAAGGUAUAUUUUAUUGGGGUGAUAUAAAAAUUUAAAUAACUUUUUAUUAAAGAAACAUAAAUUUAUGAAUAAUUGAUCCUAUAUUUUAGAUUAAAAGAAAAAAUUACCUUAGGGAUAACAGCGUAAUUUUUUUAGAGAGUUCUUAUCGAUAAAAAAGAUUGCGACCUCGAUGUUGGAUUAAAAUUAAUUUUUGGUGUAGAAGUUAAAAAUUUUAGUCUGUUCGACUAUUGAAAUUUUACA
rnacentral:rRNA from 1 species